GACGAACGCUGGCGGCGUGCUUAACACAUGCAAGUCGAACGAAGUGGCGAACGGGUGAGUAACGCGUAAUCAACCUGCCCUUCAGAGGGGGAUAACAGUUGGAAACGACUGCUAAUACCGCAUACUGAAGGAGGGGAUUGCGUCUGAUUGGCUAGUUGGGGGGGUAACGGCCCACCAAGGCGAGGAGCAGUGGCCGGUCUGGGGGGAAGAACGGCCACAUUGGGACUGGGGCACGGCCCAGGCUCCUACGGGGGGCAGCAGUGGGGGAUCUUCCGAAAUGGGCGAAAGUCUGACGGAGCAACGCCGCGGGGGUGGUGACGGGCUUCGGGUUGUAAAGCUCUGUUAAUCGGGACGCGGUACCGGAAUAGAAAGCCACGGCUAACUACGUGCCAGCAGCCGCGGUAAUUC
rnacentral:rRNA from 1 species